rnacentral:rRNA from 1 species
CCUACGGGCGGCAGCAGUGAGGAAUAUUGGUCAAUGGGCGCGAGCCUGAACCAGCCAAGUAGCGUGAAGGAUGACGGCCCUACGGGUUGUAAACUUCUGUUAUAAAGGAAUAAAGUGAGGCACGUGUGCCUUUUUGCAUGUACUUUAUGAAUAAGGAUCGGCUAACUCCGUGCCAGCAGUCGCGGUAAUACGGAGGAUCCGAGCGUUAUCCGGAUUUAUUGGGUUUAAAGGGAGCGUAGAUGGGUUGUUAAGUCAGUUGUGAAAGUUUGCGGCUCAACCGUAAAAUUGCAAUUGUUACUGGCAGUCUUGAGUACAGUUGAGGUCGGCGGAAUUCGUGGUGUCGCGG